GCAUUAGCUAGUUGGUGAGGUAACGGCUCACCAAGGCAACGAUGCAUAGCCGACCUGAGAGGGUGAUCGGCCACACUGGGACUGAGACACGGCCCAGACUCCUACGGGAGGCAGCAGUAGGGAAUCUUCCGCAAUGGACGAAAGUCUGACGGAGCAACGCCGCGUGAGUGAUGAAGGCUUUCGGGUCGUAAAACUCUGUUGUUAGGGAAGAACAAGUAC
rnacentral:rRNA from 1 species